UACGAAGGGGGGCUAGCGUUGCUCGGAAUCACUGGGCGUAAAGCGCACGUAGGCGGACUCUUAAGUCGGGGGUGAAAUCCUGGAGCUCAACUCCAGAACUGCCUUCGAUACUGGCGAUCUUGAGUCCGGAAGAGGUGAGUGGAACUCCUAGUGUAGAGGUGGAAUUCGUAGAUAUCAGGAGGAACACCGGUGGCGAAGGCGGGUCUCUGGGCAGUAACUGACGCUGAGAAGCGAAAGCGUGGGUAGCGAACAGG
rnacentral:rRNA from 1 species